AGAAUUGUGACAUUUGUCACAUUUCAAUGACAUAAAGGUUGGAUAAAUGUGACCUGGCCAUUCAGACUGAAGUUGCAUGGCAAAAUAUCGGAUAUGUAUCAGAUUUAGGACCACAUAUGAAAGUGACCUGGGUUGGAUUUG